CCGCCGUCGCCCAGGGCCUCGCGCGCCAAAGCGCACAAUUGAUCGGCCUCGUCAAAGCGUCUUGCGAGAAAGGCCUCCCACAGGGCCUCGGCUUGGUACGGGGUCCACGUGCCGCUGCUGUUGCGCGACUCGCAUGACGCUAUCUCACCGAUAUUGGGCACGUGUUGCCGAAUGACCGCGAUGGCCUUGUCGCCGAUGGGCUGGCGGCUGCUGCGGUUCCACUUUGUAAUCCGUCGCCCCCACGCCGCGCCGUCGGCGAGCGUCGUCGGAUCAAAGUGUUGUGCGCCACGACAUAAAAGAGCAAGACGGUCGAGGGCGACCGGGUCGUCGCCGGCGUUUGCCGCGCGUUCCAUGAUCGUGUUGACAGAGAUGCAACCGAGCGGAUCCCAAAAAUGGACCGGGCGCUCGUUGAUCUCCUCGGCCGUGAGGCACUCUUGGGUGCACGUGUAAUGGCCGCGUUCGAUGGCUCCAUCGAUGCCCAGGACUUGGCCGCUCUCCCACACCUCCUGACGGAAGACGCACGUGCCGGCCAUCUCGUGGGCCAACGCUGCGCCGCCCGCGUCGACGCGGGCACUUAACCCGCAACCGGUGACGACAUCAUAGAGAAGCCACGACGUCAGCGCCUGUCGUGCCCCUGUGUCGCCCAAGUGAGCAAAGGCGGGCAGGACGAGGCCCUCCAGCCGGCGGCACAGCGCACGCGCAUCGUCGACUCUGCCGGCGGCCAGCAACUUGGUGAUGUGUACCGAGUAACACAUGGUACUGCAGCCCAUAUAAAUGGUCAAGUUGAUCCCAUCAGCGCGUUGGCCGCACGAGCAGCGGUCGCAUAUAUGCAUGUCGCAACCGCACAUGCAUUCGCCGAUGGCCACUGUCGGGCGCAGGGCCAUGGCCUGUCGAUGCCCCAAGACACGCAGGGCGCGCGCGGCACCGACGUAGCCGACGGCGCCACGCCGAUCGAGGAAAGAAAGAAUCUCACAAUGCACUUCAGGCGGGAGAUCAACGAGCGUCAACGGCGUCGGAUCGAGGUCGGGAUGGUCGUCCGACGUCAACGGGUGUGCGAUUGUCGUUGAAAUCUCUUCAACGACAAUAGGGUCGUCGCUGUUGGUGCGAUCCCCAUCACUGGGCCAGGCAUCAUGCCUGUCGUCGACCUUUUUGUUGCGUUGCUUUUUUUCAUCGUUGUCAUCGUCAUCGCUGUCGUUGACAUUGUCGCCGCAACUGUCAGGAGCGUGUAUUGGCAAGAGCACAUAGGCGGCGCCCGUCAAGAGCACCGACCACAAAAGACAAAACAACCACCACGAACCGUCCAUCACGAUCAAACAUGCACACACAACACAAUAGAGAAUGCUGUCGUCUUUCGC
rnacentral:lncRNA from 1 species